rnacentral:lncRNA from 1 species
CAUUUUAUUUCCAUAUUCUAGCUAUCUAAUCAAAGGAUAAAAUCAAAGAAUAAAAAAAUUAAACAGCAUCAAUAUUUUUGUAAACAAUUCUUCUGAUAUUUUAUAAUUUUACUAUAUACCGUUUGCAAGAAAUUGAUAGCGAUUUUUCAUAUCACGACUUUGGCGAUUAAGAUGAUUUUUUUUAUGACAACAUAACCGACGUCAAUAUAGCAACCCUGAAUUGCACAGGAGUGAAGAAUCUCAGGCUUAUAUUCUACUGUGCUAAAGAGACAUCUCCUGUGACAGCUGAAUCGUUGGUUAUCGUGUUUUUCAAGGCUUUUCUACUAUUACAUGAAUGGGAAAAGACCUGAAUAAAACAUCAAUGAAAUGACUUAGGUAAACAGUUCAGUCUAGAAGUAGAUUGCAGAGUAAAAGCUUAUGAGAUGAACAGUGUGCAUACUGACCAAGAAAAAAUGGAGCAUUCAGAAUGCUUUAUACUUUAAAUUUUCAACUUGCUGAUGCUGCUCCCUCAUAGCCUUAACCACCCAACUUAUUCUUAUAAAAACAAAGGUGUCGCUGAUUUUUAAACUAGGCUUAAACAUCAUUCUGGAAUGUAUGAUCUAAUAAUACUAGUCAUCAGAUGUUUUAUCACAAAAUAAGUAAAGCAUAUUUUCCAUGCAUUCAUAUACCUGAUUUCAAAUAUGUCCUCAAUUUUUUUAAUACCAUUAAUAGCUUUUGUUUGAUGUCAUUUGAUAGUAUGCAGAUACUACUUAGAUACAAGCAGGUAAUUAUAUAUUAGCAAACAAAGCAUAAAUUAUAAUAAGUAAUUUAUUUUUGAAUUUUUUCAAAUAUUUUAUAUAUAUUCAUAUUUCCAUAUUUUAUAUCCUUUUUCUGGUUUGCAGUUAACUGUAAUAAGAAAUUGGUUUCUCUAAAGUGUAUUCAGUAAUUUAGUAAUUUUUGUAGUUGCCAUUGUAUCUUCAGUAUUAAAUUUUUUCAUCUAUGAUUCAUUGAAUUUAGUCUGUAAUUAUUUUAAUGGAACAAGAGAUAGGGCUAAUAAUGUGUUUAUUAUUGCUUCUGUUAUGUUUUUGUAAGGUAAUAGUUAAAACUCAAAAACACAUAAAAAUGCUGUCAGAUCUCAUGUAUCCUGAUUUUUGUCAUAAAGACAAAAUAAUGACAAUGCACAAUGUAAUUAUUUUCUCCUGAAUGUGAAAGAAUUAAAGUAUUCCUUAAUUCUUUCUGAAUUCACAAGUGGAGUGAUGUUAACAAAGAAUUUUGUAUUUGUUUCAUAUUGAAUUCUGAAGAAUACUAUCGUCUUUUAUCUUAACUAGAAUAAGUAUAAAUUAAACAGUCUGAAAUAAAGUACAUUGCUAAAUUUAGUGUAAAAAUUUACAAAAUAUAAAUGAAACUCGAAUUAUGUUUAAUAAUUGAUGAAGCUGUAUGAAAUGUUCUUUAAAAACGAAGUUUCAUUAAAAUAGCUUAUUUUUUAGUUCUUUUCAUUUGUAUUAAAAAUAUAUCAAGGAUAAUAAGUCUGAAUGGAGUUAUGAGAUGAGAUGAUAUCAUAGUAUAAUUUGGUGCUUUUUAUAUUUUAAUUAGCUUUUCUAAUAAUAACAGUCUUUUUUAAUAAGGAAUGACAAUAAUGAUCAACAGGACUAUACAGUAUGUAAGCAUAACAUUAUAAUGUAAUGUGUCAUUUGUUAACCAUUAUUGUUUUUCUCCUGUUUAAGAAGUUUGAUUAUGAUAGUUUCACUUUUUCUCAUACAUAAUCUAUUAAAACAUUAAUUUUAACUAUCCAUGGGAACUAAAAAGAUAAAAAGAGUUAAUAUGAUAUAUGGCAUUAUAGGUGGUUGACCAUAUUUCUAUGACACAAGAAUGGGACAUCGAGAUGGCAGAGCUGAGAUGAGGAUUAAUAAAAGAACAUAAUAGAAAAUAUUUUAUGAUUAUAAAACGUGUAAAAUUUUAUCAUCAUUCUUUAGUAAUUGAAAUCAUAUUGAAGCUAAAAUGUGCUGUUGAAGCAAGUGAUAUUUCACCUGGUUUGAACCAUAAACAUAUCUCUGACAAAAGUUAUACAGGAAAUUUGAGUCUUUCAAAGCCUUAUCCUAAAACUUCUCACAUUCCAUGACACAGAUUUGUCAUGCAACGAAUACAACUGUUAUAGUCUUUGUACUUGACCAUGAUUUCUGUUAUUCUGUUUAUUCCAGAUAUAACUGUUAUUCCUGGAAAAGGUUUUAUACCUGAAUUAUUUUGUAAUAGUGUGAUUUUUUGUCAUAACACCCCUUUAAAAACAUAUUGUGAUAUUUUAAUCAACUUCCUUAAAUAAUGGAUUUUCAGAUAUUUAAACAUAGCAAAUCUUAACAAUUCUCUAAGUCUAAAUAAUUAAACAGUGUACUGUAAUUUUUUUUACUACAUUGACUUUGGAAAGAGAUAUAGCAGCAGAUUUUUUAUGCAUGAGAAUUUAAUAAAAUUUUGAAAUUUUUACUGUAAAAUAAAUUAAAUGAGUUUUUUUUCCUUGAUAUGUAAGUUUGUAGGUAAAGAAAAUGCUGCAUUUUAUCAUUUUGUCUUUUAUAUUGAUUUAUGAAAAUGUAAAGUUUGAGUAAUAAAUUUUUCAAAUUUUUGGUUUUAA